AUAGGGGCAGCGAAGAGCCCUCUCGUUCUCUCCGCCCACGGUCGGCGUCUUCCCCAAUUCCCCAUCCAUGGGGCGGAAGCUCCUCCCGAUCUCGUCAAUCUCCCAUUGUUGGAGACCGCCAGGAUGCGACGAUGACGAAGAUGAUGAAGACGACGAGCCAGAACACGAUACUGCUCUCAAUCUCCCAAGGUUUUGGUUACAACAUGAUGGCACUAUUUGUUCUGAAGAUUUUACUUGGAAUGGGUGGUUUAGGAAAUAUAAAAGAGAGGCUGCACUUGAGCUCUUGGUUCUGAUUUCCAGAAAUAUAACGAGAAUGAGGUGGUUGGACUUCAAUCUCAAGGUGCUAGAUGCCUCUAAUGCUCCUGUUUAUGUGUCAAAUCUGCAUGGGCUCUUCAUUGUCAAGUCAUUAUCCCUCAGCAUGGUUAAGAAUUACCUUUGUUUAAAGACUGAUUUAUUCGGAGUGACAUGAGGGUUCAACUCCAUUACAGUGCUGGAAUCCAUGUUGUAUAUUCAAGGAGUUUAAUUUUUUAGCUUCCCUCAUGGCACAACCUUCUUCCUGCGGAGUCCUCUUUCUCCUCAGUUUACAAAGACAAAAUGUAUGACUGGUGCCAACAGUUCAUCACGGAAGAAAGGACUCACCGAGCUAGGAUUACUAACUAAUACUUUACUAAUAGAAUAGAAUAGAAAAGAAUUGUCUUUCUAUAUACUUUUCCUGGUUCCAUUGCUACUGCAGGAGCAAUCGAUCAGAUCAUAUGGAUAUCCCUUUAACACAAUGCAGAUCAUUGAAAGGAUCUGGGACGACUCAUUAAAGCACGAAAGGGAAAUCAGAGGAGGGGAAGGUACUAAAAUAUGGUCAGCUAAAUAAGGUCUAAUAUCAGGCGGAAGUGGCGAAAAGAACAUAUAUCUGGUGCUGUUAAAAUUCCUAAUGUCCUAGACAUGUACUUGUUUGGAUAGUCAUACAGUUUCAGUUCUGCUGAUUUAUAAUGAAUGUUAUGCGGUCUACGGAGUGAAAGAAAAAAGGAAGAACCUACCGGUGAUGAUCCACAAAUUCACCUGGGAAUAACCUGCCGGUGCUUUUGACUGCUGAUGAUGACCCACAUAUAUUUUACUUCGUUUUCCCCUUUUAUUUUUUCCUGAUAUUAUGAUCUUGGUACAUAUAACAGGGAGUUCUGUAUGCCUGAAAGGAAUGGUAUCAGAUCUUAAUAAAGUAAUUUCUAUGCCAGUUCUUAGUA